rnacentral:misc_RNA from 1 species
GUAAGCCUGCAAGCAAGUAUCGGUAUGAUAUUUGUAACGAAUAAAUGGAUUUGGGUCAACCUUUCUAUCGUUGUUCUAUAUUAGAUUCACAGUUUCACUUGAAGUGCGCGCCUGAUGAAAGCCAAAUGUAUAUUCUGAUCAGCAACAAAAAGCCAACGAGAAUUUAUAAGGAUUUUGAACCCACAUCAUCGGCAUUGGAGGAGGACUCCGAGGAACUUUCUUUAGUUGUAAGUCUUCAUGAUGGUGAGUUUAACAAACUUCUUAAUUACCAUUUUUUAUUUUUUUUGUUCUUCUAAAAGAAGUGUGC